rnacentral:rRNA from 1 species
UACGUAGGUGACAAGCGUUGUCCGGAUUUACUGGGCGUAAAGAGCGCGCAGGCGGUCGAUCAAGUCGAGUGUGAAAGCCCCCGGCUCAACUGGGGAGGGUCAUUCGAUACUGGUCGACUCGAAGGCAGGAGAGGGUAGUGGAAUUCCCGGUGUAGUGGUGAAAUGCGUAGAUAUCGGGAGGAACACCAGUGGCGAAGGCGACUACCUGGCCUGUUCUUGACGCUGAGGCGCGAAAGCUAGGGGAGCAAACAGGG